GAUUGUACAUCUUCUUCUCAUACUAAAAUCGGAAUGAUACAGAGAAAAUUAGCAUGGCCCUUGUACAAGGAUGACACACAAAUUCAUGGCUUUUUUU
ensembl:snRNA U6 U6 spliceosomal RNA